rnacentral:rRNA from 1 species
CGAACGCUGGCGGCGUGCUUAACACAUGCAAGUCGAACGAGAAAGUUUUCUUCGGAAAACGAGUAGAGUGGCGCACGGGUGAGUAACGCGUAGGUAAUCUACCCUAAUAUUUGGGAUAACAUUGGGAAACUGGUGCUAAUACCAGAUACCCUUCUUUUCUGUCGGGUUAAGGAGGAAAGGUGGCCUCUUCAUGAAAGCUACCGUAUAAGGAUGAGCCUGCGUACCAUUAGCUAGUAGGUGGGGUAAUGGCCCACCUAGGCAACGAUGGUUAGCGGGUCUGAGAGGAUGAUCCGCCACACUGGAACUGGAACACGGACCAGACUCCUACGGGAGGCAGCAGUGAGGAAUAUUGCGCAAUGGGGGAAACCCUGACGCAGCGACGCCGCGUGAGUGAGGAAGGUUUUCGGAUCGUAAAGCUCUGUCAGAAGGGAAGAAGUGUUAUACAGUUAAUACCUGUAUAAUUUGACGGUACCUUCAGAGGAAGCACCGGCUAACUCC